UCGGUUGAGUGUACGUUCAAUGUGGGGGGACCUUUUGUUUUGUUCCGCGGACCAUGUGUUGCCCAGGGAAGCGUUGGCUGGCGCACUUGGAGCCGCGUGGGGCAUUCAAGCUCAAGAAGCUGAAGCUUUGUUCCUCUGGAGUCAGUGUGGCUAAUGAGUUCUGACGGCAUUUUUGGGACGUUGUAAGACGUGUCCACAAUAAAUGGCUGUAGAAACGAA